UCAAGUUCUGCUGAGGGAUUUUUUCUGAGCAUGUAUUUCACGAUGGAUCUCCUUGCUUUUGAGGAAGCAGUCAUGAAGUUGGGGCAUGAGGUUAUGAAGCUAUAUUUAAGAUUCAAUGGAGCUGGAGAUUGCAGUGGUGCAAUUCAGGUGCUGAGAAGCAGGAAUUUAAAGUCCUUCAGAUGGCAUAAGGAUAAAGCCCAACCUGCAACAAGGUGGUAGGCAGUUACCACUGGCUUUGCUUUGAGUAGUAUGGGAGACUACUCAUGCCUGCUCUCAACUUUGAAUUCUGAUUGAUGAAAUAUUGAAGGUGUUGAAGGAAGCAGUGUGGUGGAUACAUGGCUUUUGAAAGGCACAAAAAGGUAAUGAAACACCAAAGAGACAGUCUGAUAAAAUCUAGAGUAAAAACAAAACAACAACAACAAAAAAGGGCCAUUACAUAGUGUUGCAAAAAACUAAGAAGCAUAAUUUACUAUUUUUAGCAGUUUUAUUUAUGGAAGUGCCUAGCGACCAACAAGUAGAGUUUUAACAGAAUAGGUACUGUUCGUUUCAGACAAAGAAUGAAGAUAAUCCUUGCUUUGUGGAGAUGAAAUGUAAAGAAACAUAAUAAACGUGAAAAGGAAAAAGAUACAUGGUUUAUAAAUACCAUAAGAAAAUGAUAGAUUCUUCUUCAACUGCAGCUUCUUUAAAAUAUUUAAUUACUUUGUGUAAAAGAUCCUAGCUGAUACGUUAAUAAUCC